rnacentral:lncRNA from 1 species
UCUUUCUCGUUUUUUGCCCUAGAGACGACAAAUCGUGGUUGGUUGUACUUGAAUAUUGUAUUUCCUUUUCGAUAGUAAAGUUUUCUUCUCUCUCACCUGUGGUUUUUUCCCGCAAAUGAUUUUUUACGUAAAUCUAUGUAUUUUGCUAUUUCUGUUUGUAGUUUGUUUAUUUUGUAUUCGUCUUUUUCGUUUUUGUUUGUGCGUUUGUCGUAACAUAUAGACAGUUUAGAUUGAGCGUUUAAUUGUCUACCU